rnacentral:lncRNA from 1 species
GAAUCUAAGCUAGUCCAUUCCUGAGAGCCAAAAGCUGUUGUUUUCCACUUGUUGCCAUACCAUUUACCCUGUAUCUAGUCUGAAGUAUCCCAGUGGCGGAUCUAGAGUCUAAAAGUUAGGUGAGCGGAAAAAGAAAUUCAUCAAUAAUAGGUAAAACUCUUGAUAAGUCAAAACACAAUUCUUACAUAGAAUUCAUCAAAAAUUCAAAAGAGAUAUAAUAAUUGUAAAUCAAAAGCAUUAUAAGUACAAGAUGCUCUAUCUAAAUUGCACCCUACGAUCUCCAGUAGACUCGAAAUGAUCAAUCACUGCCUCUGAAUCAAUAGGUUGGGCUUGGGUAGUUGGGUUGGAUACUUGAGUUUCAGUUUUUGUGCCCAGCAGAAAAAUAAAAAUGAACUGUUCUUUUUUUUUUUCACCCAGCGGCCGCUGGGUGUGCUCCCAUUGAGGUCCGCCCCUGAAGUAUCCAGCUUACUUAGGGCUAUUCAUUGGUUCCCUAGUUUCAAAUGAAAAUUUCUGCAGAUUAAGUAUGAAUACUAAUUCCCAUUAUACACUACAGAUUAAGUAGAUACUAAAGCUGAUUGGACAUGGUACGUGUGACUCUCACUGUCACGAUGAUAAUGACCUAGACAAGCCCAAUUCUCACUGUCAUUAUGGUUUAUUCAGAUGCUAACUCGAUGUUUUUAGGCCCAAACGACCAGCACUCCCCUGGUUUGGCCACUAUUUGCAAUCUCAACUUCCAAUGGAUUCACCUCCAGCAGAGGCUACCAUGGACUCUGUCGCAGAUGACUUGUGGGAGACCUUGAUUCUUUGUCAGACCAGCAAUAGAGGUUAGCUUAUAUCAAUAUCUGUAAUCUUUUGUGGACUGAUUUUAGACGUAGCUAUUUACAAGUUGUACUCAAUUUAAUGGAAAGAAAUGGGCACAGCUAUGGAAUUGUGACAUUGACAUGAUCUCUUGCUGUAGGCUGCACAUUGAUUUUUAAUUUUUUUUUACUUUUUUUUUUAUAGUUGUUAUGCUAUAGCUUUUUGAGUUUUGAUUAUCGGUGUUGCAAUGAUCUCUACAUUCGAUGUGAUCAUGGAAUGGUGGGAUGUGAUCAUGG